UGUGUGUGUGUGUUAAGUCAAGUCACCUUUAUUUAUAUAGCGCAGUAUAUACAAUACAGCUUGUAUAAAAGCAGUUUUA